AUGCCAUGGUGUGGACACUAUCUUUGUAUGUCUUUGUACCUUUCUCAUGCAUCAUAGAGUGAUUCUCCUUCUUUUUGUCUGAAAGUAUUCAAUUCUACUUUUAAUUUU